CUCUAGUCUGUUGUAGCUGAAUGAUUUGGAAGUGUUCUUUCACUUUUUACUUUUGUCCUCAGCAUUACCUACAUGAACUUGUUAUCAAAACCCUUGUCCAGCACAACCUCUUUUAUAUGCUGCAUCAGUUCCUGCAGUACCACGUCCUCAGCGACUCCAAACCUUUGGUAUGCAUUGCCAGAUUUUUACUUCCAUUGUGGUUAAAAAUGGAAAAUUUUAACCGUUAUCUUUCCAACUGAAGUGGGUCUAAAAAUGUCUUUCAGGCUUGUCUGCUGUUAUCCCUAGAGAGUUUCUAUCCUCCUGCUCAUCAGCUAUCUCUGGACAUGCUGAAGCGACUUUCAACAGCAAAUGAUGAAAUAGUAGAAGUUCUCCUUUCCAAACACCAAGUGUUAGCUGCCUUAAGGUUUAUCCGGGGCAUUGGUGGCCAUGACAACAUUUCUGCACGAAAAUUUUUAGAUGCUGCAAAGCAGACUGAAGACAACAUGCUUUUCUAUACAAUAUUCCGCUUUUUUGAACAGCGAAACCAGCGUUUGCGAGGGAGCCCCAAUUUCACACCAGAGUCUCGCUCCGUUGCCCAGGCUGGAGUGCAGUGGUGUGAUCUCGGUUCACUGCAACCUCCGCUGGGUUCAAGCGAUUCUUCUGCCUCAGCCUCCUGAGUAGUUGGGACUACAGGGGAACACUGUGAAGAACAUGUUGCUUUUUUCAAACAGAUUUUUGGAGACCAAGCUCUAAUGAGGCCUACAACAUUCUGAAAUCACUUGCUGUUUUUUUAUAUAAAAAUGUGUACAAAGUUAAUUUAUUGCAUUAAUAAAGCUCUUUAAACUAU
rnacentral:lncRNA from 1 species